UGAAGCAACAAAUGCCCUGCUUCCAGGAAAAGCCUCUAAGCAUCAGGUAACAUCAAAUCGUACCCCAAACCGACACAGGUGGUCAGGUAGAGAAUACCAAGGCGCUUGAGAGAACUCGGGUGAAGGAACUAGGCAAAAUGGUGCCGUAACUUCGGGAGAAGGCACGCUGACACGUAGGUGAAGUGAUUUACUCAUGGAGCUGAAGUCAGUCGAAGAUACCAGCUGGCUGCAACUGUUUAUUAAAAACACAGCACUGUGCAAACACGAAAGUGGACGUAUACGGUGUGACGCCUGCCCGGUGCCGGAAGGUUAAUUGAUGGGGUCAGCGCAAGCGAAGCUCCUGAUCGAAGCCCCGGUAAACGGCGGCCGUAACUAUAACGGUCCUAAGGUAGCGAAAUUCCUUGUCGGGUAAGUUCCGACCUGCACGAAUGGCGUAAUGAUGGCCAGGCUGUCUCCACCCGAGACUCAGUGAAAUUGAACUCGCUGUGAAGAUGCAGUGUACCCGCGGCAAGACGGAAAGACCCCGUGAACCUUUACUAUAGCUUGACACUGAACAUUGAGCCUUGAUGUGUAGGAUAGGUGGGAGGCUUUGAAGUGUGGACGCCAGUCUGCAUGGAGCCGACCUUGAAAUACCACCCUUUAAUGUUUGAUGUUCUAACGUGGACCCGUUACCCGGGUUGCGGACAGUGUCUGGUGGGUAGUUUGACUGGGGCGGUCUCCUCCUAAAGAGUAACGGAGGAGCACGAAGGUUGGCUAAUCCUGGUCGGACAUCAGGAGGUUAGUGCAAUGGCAUAAGCCAGCUUGACUGCGAGCGUGACGGCGCGAGCAGGUGCGAAAGCAGGUCAUAGUGAUCCGGUGGUUCUGAAUGGAAGGGCCAUCGCUCAACGGAUAAAAGGUACUCCGGGGAUAACAGGCUGAUACCGCCCAAGAGUUCAUAUCGACGGCGGUGUUUGGCACCUCGAUGUCGGCUCAUCACAUCCUGGGGCUGAAGUAGGUCCCAAGGGUAUGGCUGUUCGCCAUUUAAAGUGGUACGCGAGCUGGGUUUAGAACGUCGUGAGACAGUUCGGUCCCUAUCUGCCGUGGGCGCUGGAGAACUGAGGGGGGCUGCUCCUAGUACGAGAGGACCGGAGUGGACGCAUCACUGGUGUUCGGGUUGUCAUGCCAAUGGCACUGCCCGGUAGCUAAAUGCGGAAGAGAUAAGUGCUGAAAGCAUCUAAGCACGAAACUUGCCCCGAGAUGAGUUCUCCCUGAGACUUAGAGUCUCCUGAAGGAACGUUGAAGACGACGACGUUGAUAGGCCGGGUGUGUAAGCGCAGCGAUGCGUUGAGCUAACCGGUACUAAUGAACCGUGAGGCUUAACCUU
rnacentral:rRNA from 1 species